UAAAAAUUCUUUCAGCAGAACCCAACGGUUCACAUGUGAACUCUCUUACUCUCGCGGUAACCUAAGAUCCCACCUCCAAACUAUCCCAGUGCCUCCACUCUACAGAUGAACCUUCAACCACAGUGGACUACUGAGGGGGCAUAAGCCAUCUUCAGAACCAUAGCACCGACUCCCAGGAUAUAAGAAAGAUGGAGGUAACUUCUCCAAGAGAAUGAGCCUGAAGUGGAACAUGUCCUGGUGCCCACACGCCCAGGAAAUGGCAGCAUCGCGUCCCAGUCCGUUACCCUGUGCCAGUGAUGCCAGUGCUGCUGCUAUACCACUGCACUGGGCCUAACACAGCAACCUGGGAAGGACGAAUCCUCUCCUGCCUUCAUCUUCCAUGGACUGAUCAUGUCUUUACUUGGAAAAGCGCUGUGCAAUCUGCAGGGCGAUGUGGCUUCACGAUGGAACCAGGCCACCAGGGCUCGGCUCUUCACCGUCUUUCUCAUUUCUCCCUCUGAAG